rnacentral:rRNA from 1 species
CUACGGGUUGCAGCAGUGGGGAAUAUUGGACAAUGGGGGAAACCCUGAUCCAGCAAUGCCGCGUGUGUGAGGAAGGCCUGCGGGUUGUAAAGCACUUUCGGUUGGGAGGACUGCUUCUAGCACUAAUAUUGUUGGAAGUUGACGUUACCUUCAGAAGAAGCACCGGCUAACUCCGUGCCAGCAGCCGCGGUAAUACGGAGGGUGGCAAGCGUUAAUCGGAAUUACUGGGCGUAAAGCGCGCGUAGGCGGCUAGAUCAGUCGGGUGUGAAAGCCCCGGGCUUAACCUGGGAACUGCAUCCGAUACUGUCUAGCUUGAGUAAAGGAGAGGAGAGUGGAAUUCCACAUGUAGCGGUGAAAUGCGUAGAUAUGUGGAGGAACACCAAUGGCGAAGGCAGCUCUCUGGCCUGAUACUGACGCUGAGGUGCGAAAGCGUGGGGAGCAAACAGGAUUAGAUACCCCUGUAGUC